CCUACGUGAGGCAGCAGUAGGGAAUAUUGCGCAAUGGGCGAAAGCCUGACGCAGCGACGCCGCGUGAGGGAUGAAGGUCUUCGGAUCGUAAACUCCUGUCAUCAGGGAAGAUCGGUCACUGUGCUAAUCAACAGUCAAUUGACGGUUCCUGCCAAGCAACCACCGGCUAACUGCGUGCCAGCAGCCGCGGUAAUACGGAGGGUGCGAGCGUUAAUCGGAAUUACUGGGCGUAAAGCGCUCGUAGGCGGUAUGUCAAGUCAAGGGUGAAAUCCCCGCGCUCAACGUGGGAACUGCAUUUGAAACUGUCAAACUGGAGUGUGUGAGAGGAUAGUGGAAUUCUAGGUGUAGGAGUGAAAUCCGUAGAGAUCUGGAGGAAUAUUAGUGGCGAAGGCGACUAUCUGGAACAUAACUGACGCUGAGGAGCGAAAGCGUGGGUAGCAAACAGGAUUAGAUACCCUUGUAGUC
rnacentral:rRNA from 1 species